rnacentral:lncRNA from 1 species
UUUUUUUUUUUUUUCUUAUUUAGUUUUUAUUCAUAAUCAUAAACUUAACUUUGCAAUCCAGCUCGACUUGAAGGGGAAUGAGGAAAAUAUGGAACCCAAAGAACUUCAGUGAGAGCAGAGAUUACAGGACAUUGCGAGCAGAUGGGGUAGGGACGCUCUCCUGAGCUACAGAAGGAAUGGUUUGAUGGGUAAAAUGCCCGCAAGUCAAAAGAAAUUAGAGUUGUCCACAGUCGGAAAUGGUGAUCUUCUUGCUGGUCUUGCUGUUCCUGGAUCCAAAACGCUCCAUGACUUCCACAAUGUUCAUGCCUUCUUUCACCUUCCCAAAGACCACAUGCUUGCCAUCCAGCCAUUCAGUCUUGGCAGUGCAGAUAAAAAACUGGGAACCGUUUGUGUUUGGUCCAGCAUUUGCCACGGACAAGAUGCCAGGACCUGUAUGCUUCAGGAUGAAGUUCUCAUCCUCAAAUUCCUCCCCGUAGAUGGACCUGCCGCCAGUGCCAUGUGGUGUGUGACGUCACCACCCUGGCACGUGAAUCCUGGAAUAAUUCUGUGAAAGGAGGAACCCUUAUAGCCAAAUCCUUUCUCUCCAGUGCUCAGAGCUCGAAAGUUUUCUGCUGUCUUUGGAACUUUGUCUGCAAACAGCUCGAAGGAGACUCGGCCCAAGGGCUCGUCAUCGGCUGUGAUGUCGAAGAACACGGUGGGGUUGACCAUGGCCGCAGCAAGCGGCGAAAAGCGACAGUGGCGUCUGCAAAGCCGCCACUGCUUUUUAUAAUGGCGUGAUGGGACAUCUCUUAUUCACAGCACACAGCCAUUGUGUUUUAUGAUGCUCUUCCAUGUGAGAUUUCACUUGAAACAUAGGAAAUUGCUGUGAAGUCAGAACCCAUCCUGGAGUGGGAAGCACAUAUAGGGUUUGCUUGUUUGUUUUUUUCCUCAGCCUCUUUGCUUUUAAACUGAGGACAAUAACUUGCUUUUAUGGGUUGUGGUGAAGACACAAGAGGCAUCAGUAAAUGUCCCCAAGAUUCCAGGUAAUAGAAUUUGGGGCCAGAGGGAAGAAAAGGAAAGAAGUAUAAGGAGAUUAGAGAAUUCAAAGUAGUGCUUAUAAAUUUUAUAGUUUAACUGACCAAGUGGCUUGUGCUUGUGGGAAGCAGCUCUCUCAUACAGAACAAGUGCAUUCUACUGUUUGGGAAUAUUUUUUAUUAAUUUAUUUAUUCAUUGUACAUCCUGAUUGAAGCCCCUCCCUCUUCUCCUAGUUCCACCCUUACAAAUUCCUCCCCUGCUAUGCCCCCCUCUCCUACAAGAAGGAGAAGCUCUCUUUGGUACGGUACCACCCUGCCCUGGGACAUCGUCCUAGCAGACUAAGCACUGGGAAUAGUUCUUGGUAUAGUCAGCAGUGCUUUCUGUUUCUCACCCAAACUCCAAGACCCACAAUUUCUCUUUAACAGAAAGAGUUCUCAAUACACAAAUGGUUUCAUUUAAUUUCUUUUCUGUGUUCUGAAAGGUAGACACUGAUCCCAUGCCCGUAGUAGGUAUGUAGGGUGAUUUCAUUUUGUUUUGGGUUCUAUCAGUGGAACACAGGACCUUUCACAUGAAGCUUCCACUUAACAAGACCCUUAGUCUCUGUGGGUUUUUGUUUGUUUGAGACAGGGUCUCAUUGUAGUUGUGGCUGGCUUGAAAUUCACUUUGUUAGACCAGUCACAUUGAACUUACAGAUAACCUGGGGCUUGUCCUGCAUGUUGGGAUUAAAGGUGUGAACUGCCACGCCUGACUUCACUGUGUGUUUAAGCCUUUAUUUGUUGUGAUUGGAAGGUGUCUUUUGUUUGAUAUUAAAUAUUUUCAAUCUCAGUGUUGAUUUACACACUCUUGAGACAUUUUUGUCCUGUGUUUUAGGAUGUGUGUGGCUAAAAGGUUAUUUUAGUUCUACCAAAUUGAAAGAUGAAUAGUAAAAAAAAAUUUCUGGGUCCUGUUUACUGAGCUCUGAGCAAGUGUUUAUAGUUACUUUUUAAAAUAAUCUUAAAUUAGUGCUAAUGGAACUUUGCAUUGUCAGUCCCAUGUUGGAGGCUUAAGUAUUGAUACAUUAUUUUAAAAGACUUGUUAUGCCGGUGGUGUGAUCUGUGUCAGCAAGGUGACACAUUGUAACUAUUUACACCUAUGCUUCACUCUUCUGCUCUGCUGCCUGCAUCAUCAGACAGGCUUUCUUUAUUACAGCUGUGGUCAGGUUAAUGGCAGCUACUUUUACUUGGAUUGACACAGAAAGCAUCUCUUACGGCUGAAUCUCAUGGCCUUCCCUUAGACUUGAUAUAGCGCCUGCUGAAGUAGCUCUCUCGUGAGGCAGGGCAGACAUGCAAAGCUUCUUUUGUUACUGUCUGAACUUGAAACCUGAUUUCCCAGCACCUGAGACAUUUCCCUAAGUCUACUGUCAUAAGUUUUUAAAGAGCGCAUUAGAUUUCUCUUUAAAUCAUCCCAUGGUUUUUGGUCCUCAAUGGGGAAAAUGGUGUGUAUGUUAGCUAAUAUCUACUGUCCCUUCUAAUUAAGGGAUUUUCUUAUAUUGUACUCAUACUUUGUGUUCUGUAGUAUUUGAAGGUAUCUCAAGAUAAUUUUUAAAAGAGAAGUAUCUUGUUCUACAAGUAAACUUCUCUGCUAAUGUUUGCUUGACCCCCCCCCCCCUUCUCUCUUGCUGCUUUUGAGACAAGGGUCACUAUGUAGCCCUGCCUGGACUGGAACUUUGUCAUACACAGGAUCUCACUCUGCUUGCUGAGUGUUGGAAUUAAAGGUGUCACCAUAUCUGGGCAGCUUUUAAUACUUCCUAAGCAGGCUGACUGUUUUCCUCAGCUGGAGCCUAAGCCUGGUCCAAGGAAGCCAGGCCAUGCACUACCCAUUGCUGAGUGCUAUCCAGCGCGAGUUUACCGCAUAAAGGAACUAAUGUUUCUUACAGGAAGCUGUUCUUUUUUGUUUGUAUUGGCUUCCAGGUUCCCAAUAUUUGGUGGAUACUCAAGAAAUUUGAAUUUUGAGUCGGCUUAGUCUUUCAGCAAAAAACAAAGCAUUUCUCACUCCUUUUUACCUGUGUGCCUUAGGUUUGUUCCUAGCACAGUGCCUGGUCACAGUGUAAUGGUCAGUAAGUAUUUGCUGAAAUAAGCAGCUCCCCAAUGACUCGGUGAGCUUUUGCUUUGACUAGUCACCUGGCAGAAGAGUGAGGUGCUUAUGCCCAGUUUGCUGUGGCGGCCUGAUCCCGUAGUUCUCACACAGAUUGGCAUUAUGUAAUCUUUCCACCAUUGGAGAACAUUUUCUGUGACAGCUGACUCCUUGGUGUGAAUGAAUUUUUCUGUCAGCUGUUGAAGAACUGAGUUGGUGUUUAGAAAAAUGCAGAAAACAUUUGUUCAUCAAACCUAACGAGAUUGGUUAGCAAAAGAGAGGAAGUAUUUAUAGAAAAGGAGUGUUCUGUUUCAGAUCCUUCAUAGCUGUCCAGGCUUGUCCUCACUUCAGGGAUGGAGUAAUUCUUUUGUUAGAUGACUAGAAUCAAAUGUUGUGAGCUGCUUUUCUUUUCACGUUAGAAGAAGGAAUGAUUUGAAACUCAUAAUAAAAGCUAGUUUGCACUUACACCAAAUUGCGUGCCUUCCCUUAUAGGGAGAUCUUAUUCCUCAAGUCUUACUUCACUAGUUCUUAAUACAGUCGAUAAGCAUCUUUGUCUUUGGCAUCUCACAGUAAAAAAAUGCCAUUAUCAACACUGGUUUUGUGAAUAUCCAUAGUACUAAUCUGUUCUGUCUCAUGCUUGUCAUUUUGUUUGUGUGUCGAUGCAGAAGGAAGUAACUGAACUCAUCAAAUGAUUGAAGACAUUUCCAUAUGGGAAAUAGUGUGUGUAUUUUCUGUACAGUUGUAUUCAGAAAUGACAGCUGUUUGCACUAAUAGUCUACAUGUUAAAAGUAAAAGAUCAAGUUAAAACAGGGAUACAUCUUUGUUACCUUUUUCUUGGUUUAGAACUACUGUGUAGCAGUAGGAAGAAUCAAGAAGCGCUUUUCAUUUUGCACAAAUGUUUUUGCAUCUGUGUUUGGUGUUUUUCAUAGAACCACAUUCUUAAUUCAAUAUAUUAUGAAAGUAGGUAGGAAGGUGAAAGGGCAGAUUAAAAAAUGCUGUAGACACAAAGCCAGAAUGAGAAAUGUCACUGUAUUCUCUUCAUUUGGUGGCUGCUCUUACUGGUGAGCUACACAUCAUUGUAAGUUGAUGGGAACGCCCGAGGCAGCCUUUAGCAGGAAGCCAGGCUGCUUGACCCUGCCCUUCCUGCUUUGUAAAUGAUCACUAGCUGCUAAACAUGCAUUAGUGGCCUGGGCCUGGGCCUUUGUGCAUGGGAACUGGGACUGCAGGAGAGGGAACAGAGACCCAGACAGCUUCAGGGAUGAAGCGAUUCUGCUGACUAUGGCUGGUGUGUUCAGUUAGGGGACUGUAGCACUUUCUUCCUUUCAUAGGUUCCUUUGCCGAAGUUGCCUGAUGCUUUCUUUACUAAGCAAGUCAAACCACACUUAUUUACAGUAUAAUGAUCAUUCAUGAGAUUCAGAAAACUACCCCCUUGAGAUGGCCUUUGGGACAAGAGACUGCAGUACCCAGGGACUGCUCUUGCUCACAUGGUGCCCGUGAUUAAUGGUUUGGCAUGAUAACACUGAGAAUCUGGGUCUCAAAGGAGGAUGUAGGCCAGUUCCAGCCUUCAUAACAGACUCCUUCCUGAGGCCCGUGUUUAUUGAUUUGGCAGAGAUCCUCCUGCUUGAGGAAUCAGGCUGGUACCGCCCUUGACCAUACAAAAGAAAUAUAAUAUGCUGAGCACUUGUCUCUCCACAGCUCUCCUUUGAGAGGCGUAGGUGCCAAGCCCUGUUGCUGAAAGGGCACAUCAGGUGGAACACAACAUGCAGUCUGGAGACAGAAUUCUGUGGCAGCAGGAAGUUGCAGCAAGAGGUCACAUAGCAUUUAAACCCUGAAUCCCUGGAGAUUCAGGGAGUGGGCAAGCAUUCAAGCUGAGUGUGGGAGGGACUCAAACUCUUUCUUACAUUUAUAUAAAUGAUUAUAUAAACUGGAGGCUGUGGUUAAUAUCAGAGGCUAGCUGUCUCCAUGUUACUGUUAACACUUGAGACAUUCACAAACCGGGUUUGUUUGGAUGGAUGAAGUAUGGGGGCUGAAGUGAGCUCCUCCUGUGUCAUCUAGCCUCGAUGUAAAUUUGACUUUAAUGUUUAUUGUCUCCACAAUAAAAGGUAGUCUUGAAAGGUAGUGAAGAAAGUAGAUUUCUUUUGUUGAAAGAUUUCAAGCAAUAUAAGAUACAUACCUUGAUAAUUACAAAUUUAUGUUUUUUGUACUGUCUUGAGCCCUGUUUAUAUUUGAUUUGUUCAUUAUUUUUUUUUUCUGACAGCUGGUUUAAAAAUGGAAUAUCUUUCUAUUAGAGCAAAUGCAUAUUGUAAAUUUUGUGUUCAUAGCUUUAGAACACAUGUAUAGACUUAAAUUGAUUUGCGUUGAAGUUAAUGAGUGUCCAAUUAAAAAAAAGACACUGUUGUAUAUAAAAUUCCCAUUAAAGUAGCUUUGGAAAGUUUUGAAAUUAAGAUAGAAAAAAAAUGAAUUGUGCAUAAAAGUUUGAUUCAAAUGUGGUAGCUUGUAAGCAGUUAUUACAGUUAAAUGUUUUUACAGUUUUGUGUCUGGCUAUAUCGCUGUUCUUCAGCCAUGUAAAUGUCCAAAAAAUAGUAAAAACAAACAAACAAACAAACAAACAAACAAACAAACAAACGUCAGCGUUACUUUUCCUUCUUCCCUACGUACACGGCAGGCCCGGUCUCAGCGAUCCUGGGGACCUUUCCUUUCCCAGUCCCUGGUAGCUCAGAUGUGAGGUGAGUGCAGAAGGCCCACGAAGAACUUCUCAUUCUUAUCAUAGAACUUAAAGAAAUCAACUGGCCGGUUUUAAGUGUCGUCUCUUGUGUGAACCUUUCACAUUUCAAAGGUGAAAAAAAGUUUCCAGGUUUGCCUGAGUCAGAGGGCAGAGUUGUGAAUGGAGCCAGAAGGUACUGAACAGGGCAGUGCAGUGUGACAUGGAAAGGGUGGAUGGUCCCAUUUCCCCGUGCGCAGUGCGCAUGGGAGCUAAUUAAGGAUUUAUUAUUGGAAUAUGGCUGACUUCAGGCUUUUUCUGAUAUUUGUGCACAUUUUAUAGCAUUCUUCUUCUACCUGUUAGUAUGUUCAAUAUGCUGUAGCACAGCCCUCACUCUGUUAGAGCUCUGCCUGUAAUCUUGCCACUUGGGGAAGUUGAGGUAGGAUGAUGGCCAUGAGCCUGAGGCCAGCCUAGGCAAGUCUUAGGCUAUCCUAGCUAUAGAGUAGCAUCUUGUCUCAAAUAAGAAAAAAAUAG